rnacentral:rRNA from 1 species
CAGUGGCGAAGGACGGCCCCCAGGGCUGCUCCUGACUGUGAAGGAGAAAGAUAGGGUAGCGAACGGGAUUAGAAACUCUCGGUAGUCCUAGCGGUAAUUGAUGGAUACUAGGUGCAGGAGGUUAUUAUUCAUUGUAUGCCGGAGAUAGCGCGUUAAGUAUCCAGCGUGAGGAGUAUGGUUGCAAGGGUAAAACUCAAAGGAAUUGACGGGGGUCCGCACAAGCAGCGGAGCGUAUGGUUUAAUUGGUUGCAACGUGACGAACGUUACCAGGGCUAGACAUGUAGGUAGUAGUGAAGCGAAAGCGGACCGUUCCUUCGGGAAGCCUACACAGUUGAAGCAUGUCGGUCGUCAGUUCGUUCCAUAAGGUUCUAUGAUAAUUCAUGUAACGAGCGCAACAUAUAAUCGUUAGUUACAAGUGUCGAUCGGGCGUUUUUAUCAAAACUUUCAGUAGGUGGGGAUGACGUCAAGUCAGCAUGGCCUUUAUUCCUGGCCGGGUCACACGCUACAAUUUUUGGUACAAUGGUUCACCAACCCGCGAGGCAGAGCCAAUCCUCUAAAGCCGGUAUCAGUUCGGAUUGUAGGGCGCAACCCGCGUGCAUGAAGGGGAGUUGCUAGUAACCGCAGGUCAGCCUCAUUGCGGGGACUACGUUCCCCGGCCAAGUACACACCGUCCGUCACGUCAGGGAAAAGGGAAACACAGGAAGCCGAUCAGCUAACCCCAUACAAGCAACCGUAAAAGCUGGGACCCGUGACUGCGACGAAGUCGUAACAAGGUAACCAAGGGCGAA